AGUGAACGCUGGCGGUAGGCCUAACACAUGCAAGUCGAACGGCAGCACAGUAAGAGCUUGCUCUUACGGGUGGCGAGUGGCGGACGGGUGAGGAAUACAUCGGAAUCUACUUUUCGUGGGGGAUAACGUAGGGAAACUUACGCUAAUACCGCAUACGACCUACGGGUGAAAGCAGGGGAUCUUCGGACCUUGCGCGAUUGAAUGAGCCGAGGUCGGAUUAGCUAGUUGGCGGGGUAAAGGCCCACCAAGGCGACGAUCCGUAGCUGGUCUGAGAGGAUGAUCGGCCACACUGAAACUGGGACACGGUCCAGACCCCUCCGGGAGGCAGAAGUGGGAAAUAUUGGAAAAUGGGGGCAAGCCUGAUCCAGCAAUACGGCGUGGGUGAAGAAGGCCUUCGGGUUGUAAAGCCCUUUUGUUGGGAAAGAAAAGCAGCAGGUUAAUACCCCGCUGUUCUGACGGUACCAAAAGAAUAAGCACCGGCUAACUUCGU
rnacentral:rRNA from 1 species